rnacentral:rRNA from 1 species
GACGAACGCUGGCGGCGUGCUUAACACAUGCCAGUCGAACGGGUCUGCCCUGUUUUUUGCGGGGUGGGUCAGUGGCGAACGGGUGAGUAACACGUGAGUAACCUGCCCCUCACUUCUGGAUAACCGCUUGAAAGGGUGGCUAAUACGGGGUGUUCUGGCUGUGCCGCAUGGUGUGGCUGGGAAAGAUUCACUUUUGUGGUGUUUUGGUGGGGGAUGGGCUCGCGGCCUAUCAGCUUGUUGGUGGGGUGAUGGCCUGCCAAGGCUUUGACGGGUAGCCGGCCUGAGAGGGUGGGCGGUCACACUGGGACUGAGAUACGGCCCAGACUCAUGCGGGAGGCAGCAGUGGGGGGUAUUGCACAAUGGGCGGAAGCCUGAUGCAGCGACGUCGCGUGAGGGAUGGAGGCCUUCGGGUUGUGAACCUCUUUCGCCGGUGAAGAAGGUCCUGCUCUUUGUGGUGGGGUUGACGGUAGCCGGGUUAUGAAGCGCCGGCUAACUACGUG